rnacentral:rRNA from 1 species
GACGGAGGAUGCAAGUGUUAUCCGGAAUCACUGGGCGUAAAGCGUCUGUAGGUGGUUUAAAAAGUCUGCUGUUAAAAAAUUGAAGCUUAACUUCAAAGGUGCCGUAGAAACUUUUAAACUUGAGGAUGGUAGGGGUAGAGGGAAUUUCCAGUGGAGCGGUGAAAUGCGUAGAUCUUGGAAAGACCACCAAUGGCGAAGGCACUCUACUGGGCCAUGACUGACACUGAGAGACGAAAGCUAGGGGAGCAAAUGGG